UCGUUUGAUAAGCCUGAUAAGCAAACGGUGUUAUUUACAAAUAUAUACACAAAUAUCUAAACAAAUAAGCGAGUAAAGGAUUUACGCGUUAUUUGAGGUUUGCAGAUUUGAAUACUUCAUUGGCGCCGGGAGAGUUUUCAUUCAAGAAUAUAAUUUUAUGAGGCCCCCACUUCAAACGGUAUUUAUUCUUUCCUGGAAAAUGAUUUCGCAAAAAAAGAGAUUUAUUUGAAUAUUUAGCUAAGCGAAAAAUCGAAAAAGAUAUUUUGUAAAAUGGUGGCGGACGCAUGAACAAUAAAAGUGACAGAGUUUACUAGUGUCAACAAAUAAACAUAAGUUCAUUUAGGUUUAUUAACCAACAACCUAAACUAAUCGUCAACAUUAUAAAGCCCAGGGAAAGAACUUUAUGUUCACACUGAGCCUUCGUUUUUAGAACGCGACGAAUCAUCUUCUGGAGAAGAGGAUGAAGCACAUUGCAGCAGAUAUAUAAGAGCCACUCUUGAAAUCAGCGAGACUUACGCUUGAGAUCGUUGUCUUGGGAGAAUUUGAAUAUUUCCAAACUACCAAGUUAUCCGCUCUUUCUUUCAAAUUUUCCUUCAAUAUUACAUUUUAUAUUAAAUUUUAUCCUUCCUUAAAACACUUUCCGUGUUUACAAAGCCAUCCGUAAACACCAAUUGGGGGACUCCAUUGGUCCAAUCCAUACCAAAUAUGGCCGUUGUCAUGCUCGCCAUAAGCCGCUGGGCAUAUGUCCAGGACGUAAUAGGCAGCUAAGACAGGGAAGACAGGUUUCUAAGCUCAUUUUUUCCUUUUGUUGAGCGAAAAAACCCAAUAUUAAUGGGACUCACUCUACACAAGAAGGAAAUUAAAAAAAAACCUUUUUAAUAUCAGCAUGUCAACAACAGAAGAUGAUCAAUAGACUAUGAGAAGAAUGAAGUAAGAUCCCUGUUUUGUACACAAAAAAUAGUAUGAAAUAUGUCAAAACUUUUAAAUGACGUUAUUAAGCAAAUAGGAGACCUCACCGAAAAUUAAUCUUUAAUAAUAUGCUGCUUUUUAUCCUCGUAUCCUUCCUUAUAUGAAAAAGAAAAAUCCAGUAUUAACGGCCCUAUGUUUUUGAAGUUGUAUUCCCUAGUAGUACAAAAUAGUGAAAUAAAUUUUUAUGUUUGGACAAUGGAAUAUGUUUAACAAGCUUCUACUCUCUCUCAUUCUUGCUUUGUGGAAGCGUUUGCGACGUCCAAGAAGUCUGAUCAGUAUCAAAUUCUUAACCCGUUAAACAUGUCCUUCGUCACUCUGCCUCUUCAAAUUUCGCAAAACUCUUCAAAUAAUUCGAGUCGUCGACAUAUCACUUUUAUCUUUGCACAAGUUUUACAAUAAAGGUAAAUCAUCAAAGGGUAAAACAUUUACAAUUGUGACCGUGUAUGGAACUGCACAUCUUAAAUAAGGAUUUUUGCAAUAAUUUUUUAAAAAAAGUGAAACUAUGCUUGUGUUGGAUUU